AUGAAAAAUUAUUUUGUCUACAUCUCUAAGCAUCAUUUGUCAUAUGUAUGUCACAUUUUAAGUUUUCAGGUCUGCUUUCAGAGCAGACUGACUGUUAAAGGCACUGUGGUGGCAAGCUGCCCAGCCCCAGUUCCACUGCUAGCCCUAGAACGGUGUCACUAUGACACAAGAAAUAACCAUUCUUGGUCAGCUGUGCAGACAGGCAGGCAAGGAUACCAGCAGAGAAGCUUCAGGAGGUGGGGUCAGGAGCCUGCUCCUCUCUCUGAGCACUUUAAAAGCUCUUUGCAGAAGUCAAAGACUGGAGGUCUUCCUUUGCUCUUUGUGAUACCCAGCUUUGCUCCAAACAAAGUGAUAUCAGAAGUGGAUCUCAUAUUUGAUCUCUUUUCACUGGAAAUUGGAAGAUUGUGACAAUAGCACAGUGUGGCAAAGGAUGACAACCUAGAAACAA
rnacentral:lncRNA from 1 species